GGAGAAUGCCAGCAUGCGUCCAUGCCUGCCAGAGAGGAGAGACUGCCAUGAGUAGAUGCCCUGCUGAGACUGUACUGUUUCUUGCUGUUACAAGUGACUGGGCGUUCCUGAAACACACUUCCGACCUUCCGAAGCCAUGGCAGCCCAGGACCGCUCCUCCUGUCAAAGUUCAAACUGAUGUCCCUGGCCCUAGAGUGUGGACUGGCCCGCAGGAGGUCCUGGCCAGUUGUGUGUGGUGAAGUGAUGACGCAGCUUCAGUUCUUGGCCUCAGGAGGCCUUGUGUGCCUCUACCCUUUUACUUGGAGUCUGGCCAAGGCUAUCCAGAAAGAAAGAAAAUCCCAGGUGCUGCUCCCUGGAGCACAGAGGUCACGUGCAACAGAGCUCAGCUGUCCCAGCAGAGGCCACCUGGGCCAACUGCUCCUUGGAGUCCAUCAAGAUCAGCGGAGCCACCUCUUGGCCCUCAACUGACCACAAAGGUACGAGCCCAGCCAAGUUCAAAAGCACCAACAAGCCAAUCUGUGGUCUGGUGAACAAAAAUAAACACUUGUGUUUUGAGUCACUAAAUAUUGGGGUGUUUUCAAGAUAACAAAUCAUAGGCUCUAGUGAAACUGUUCAUUCCUAGCUCUCUUGUUGGUGGGAAUUAUGUCAAACUGGACCCAUUCACUCUUUACAUGGUUUGUAACCCAUGAAUAAGGGAGAAAUUUAAAAGAGGAGAUUGGCACCCAGAACAGGUCUAGGAAUCACUGCACCUGCCCAUAGUAGGACCUGCAGAAAUUUAGUUCCCCUGAGUUCUGCAGAUCCCCAGCCUGCUUCAGAGCAUGGAAGAGGCCUCACAGGUCACUGCUGGGAACAAAUGUGUAAAGAAAGCUCAUAACCAUAGCAACAGCUCCUAUGUGAAUGAGGGGGCCAGGAAAUACUAAUUUCCUUGUAGGCAAAUUACGUGGACCCAACUGAAAUCAAGUACAAGAUCAGCAAGGACAUCACUUGCCCCGUGAUAACUGGCCUGAAUUAAAGCCUGUCAGUGGCAAACUCUGUAGUUUUAUAUAUGGUGUUUCACAGAUGAGUCCACGGCACAAGUCAUGGCUAUCAUGAGCCUGAGAAGGAAGACUGACUGGCAGGUCCCAAAAAGGGCCAAGAAAUACUUCCACAGCUUUUGCAACUUGGGUAGCUACAGCCAGGCUAUGGAUGACAUGCAAUGGACAGGAACUUUGCAGCUAGUGAAUCUUCUAGACUUCAAAUCAGCCAAAUCCAACACAAUUCCAAGUGGCUAUGCAGUGGGCCCAGGGAGGGUGGGUGCCACUGAGUACGGUUUUUAGAGCCACCUUUCCUUCACCUCCCCAAGCCUUUGUGAGGAAGAGCCUGUGCGCUUGGUGGAACAUGUUGCAGCCACAUUGAGGAAGCCCACAUAGCGUGCAAAUAAAUGUUUCGAGGAGGAGAGACUGCCUCACUCACCAGUGGAAGCCAGAAAGAAAAAAAGUCAAGAAAAACAAGCAUAAAACACAGCCCAAAAGAAUUCCUUCACAACAGCAAAUGUAAUGAAAAGGCCUCAGUAAGGUUCUUUCCUUUAUUGGGGCACACAAUUAAUAGUGGAUGACACAACAAAUGAACUUUUAGUGCUCGUUGACCUCAGCAUAUUUCGAUCGUCCUACUGUGAUCCAUGAACUGACACUAAGAAAUGAUACCCGGUGAGUGAGCUCCAGAGCUGUAUCUGCAAAUGGCUUUUCAGAGGUAGACAUGGUCAUGUCUGAAUCUCUUCUCAGUGACGAGGACCCUCUAGGGGCUGCUGGGUUUCCCAUCAAUACUGAAAAGUAUGGCGUAUUCAAGUUCAUCCAGACUGAGAAAAAAAUCGAAGCUAGAGAAGAUCACACUGGAAUCAGGAUUUCUUCUAGAAAUGUCACAGAACACCCACUCUUGGAAGGAAGCCUAAGUUCAUAACGAACGACGUGGUGCAGAAUUAUAAAUACAGCAAGUUUUUCUAACUAUGAAACAAUACCUUCAGGGAUCACAAGGUUCUAAAGAUGAUGCAAAUAAGAAGAACAUGUUGAUCUCUACUGGUCAGAGCUGUAUUAAACAUACACAAAGACUGGAGUAAAUCUGCCUUACUCAAUACGACUGUCCCCAAGACAACACAAAAAAUAACCACUGGUGUCAGCAUCUGCAAGGGACCCUGCAGACGGAUACAGGUGCGCCAGAGCGAGGCUCUCUGGGCUGAGCUCCUCUCUGUACCUCCCUGCCUGCCCCCUUUCCGCUCUCCCUUUGGCUUUCCAUGUGGUCAGCAGAGCUCUUUGUAGUCUCAGGCUCCAAACCUCCUUUAGCUAAAUACCUGUCUCUGGCCAGAGGACACGGCAUCUAUUAGCUUUGGUUUACCUCUGCCAUAUCUCAACAGUGCUCACUGGCUGAAAACAGCCUGUUGCAUAAUCUAGAAGUCAGUGUUGAACACCCACACGAAAAUUCCCCUCAGCUACAUUUGCUCAGGGAGAUGGGCAGACAUAUCUCGCUACCAAAUCUGUGUAUCUAUCUCCCUGCUACUCCCAACUUUCAGCAAUAGGCCCUGGAACAACACGUGUGUUUUAUUUGUUCAGUACAUAUUUUGCUGAACUACUAUACAGGACAAGUGGGGACUCGCUUAUUUCCAAAUCGAGAGCAACAAAGGGCAAUUCUUACUCCUGAAAUUCUCAUAAGGAUGAUGUAUGGUAAAAAGUCCCCAACAUCCAAAGCAGGAAAAUGAGCUCUAAAUACUAAUGAUGUAUUCCAUACAGUUAAAAUGGCUCACAUUCAUCUUUAGCGAUAUCCUAUGGGACAGCAGAUGAAUUUUAUCAGACUAGGAAUAUCUAAAAAGGGAAAUAAAUUAAUUACACCCACAAAAGGCAUCACGUUGGGGGAAAGUAACUAAUAUGUUAACGAAUAAAACAAAUAAACAGGUAAAGUAGAAAGUAAAGCAAAAAGAACUAAGGAAGUGGCUAUUAAGUAAAAAAAAAAAAUACCAUGGGGGUGCUAAAACCAGGAGUCUGAUGCUAGACAGAAGAGAUGCAAUAGGCAGGCAGCGACCGCUAGAAAUGUUAUAUGGAGAGAGUGAGAAUUUAAAAAAAAUGUUUUUGGUGGUUCAGGGGAUCAAACCCAGGGCGUCGCACAUGCGAGGCAAAUGCUCAAUUGCUGGGCUACAUUCUCAGCCCUAGCAAAAUAUUAGGGAAAAAGGUCAAAUUCUUGACUUCAUUUUAUAUAGAAGAUUAUUAAAAAUUAGGAAGGGUUGUGCUGAGAUACAAAGCAUCCUUUCAGAGCCAGUCCACACAGGCUUUCGGUCCCAAGACACAAAAGAACCUUCUCCUGCUUUGUCCUCUCACGAGUUUUUCCUUAAAUGCCAUAAAAAAGUUAGAGGAACUUGAGCAAAGGAAAUAAAUUCAUUAAGGCCAUAGGGAAACAGCACAUGGAUGAGUUUUUAUGGCAAUCAAAGCGGUUUUGGCAGAAUAAAGAACAGAGAGAAAUUAAGUUGAAACCUAGAUUUCUCUGGAGCACAUUUACACUGUGUGGAUGAAGUCAGAUGAACGUGUAGUGUGUGGCUUCGCGCCCACGGCGGGCUGUUCACGCGCGGAAGAUGAGCUCAUCUCCACGGCAGCCCGAGCACAGCCUGGGAAGACUGCCCGGGACCUUGCCAGGCUCCCUAGGCACACAGAGCCGCGGCGUCUGCGUUUCAACUUCACCCACGUCACGGCACAGUUAUCCCAGAGCUGGAAAUGUGAACAGCUCCGCCAGCACCACUAACAAGCAGAAACGGGUGUAAGCGUCUACUGCAGCUGACAGGGAAAGUAGCCCCUGAUCUCGGGAGGAAACCGGUCUCUGAUGCAGGGAAACAGUGAGACAGAGAGCGACAGAGGGAUGUCCCACCACUCAGCGGUGGCCAAGAUAUGGACAACAAAGGAUCGUUUCUCUUACAUGAGAAACGAAAAAUAUAAAUAAUUUAAAGAGCAAAGUAAGCGAGAGAUGAUAGGAACCAGGUAGCUGGAAAGUGGGGCUGAGAAGGGGACCCGAGGAAAGGUGGAGAUGGAGGAGGAGGGGACUAAAGCAGCACGGAGAUGGGAGACGUGAAUGUACCACUCCCCACACGAAGGCCAUUAGCACGCACGCACGCACUGCAAAGAUACAGCAACAAUGAAACAGAAGGAACGGGCGGGAUCUUCCAGCUCAGUACAAAAGGAAGGAGGGAGGGGAACAAGGCUGCACGAUGCAGCAGAGGGCAGAAAGCAAGACAGUGACGGAACUUCUGGGUGGGAAACUUAAAUGAGGCCAGUGAAGGAGGAGAGGGAAAAUCCCUAAAACGUGAGUUCUGGGUGUUUGAAAGAAAUGGAGAUGUAUUUUCUUCGAAACUGAAGAAAGCAUUUGUUUGAUGCAAGGAAUAAAACUUUCAUUGCAAAAAGUAUCAAAUGUGAUACAAAUAACUAUUAAACGUAACUGGAAUGUGGAACCUUUUUGUUUUAGAGAUUUUAGGAUUCUACUUUAAAACAGGAAAAUUUCCAUUUAACUUGGAAAACGACAUUGACGUGUGGUUCAAUGGCCACAUUUUCCUCACAACAGUUUCAGUAGCACAGGGUGUUCAGGUUUUCUCUUGCUUCAUUAUGGGCAGCUGGUAAUUGGCUAUUCAUUCCAAAGUCUCUUUCAACCACAGCUAACACAGGGAAUCUGCAUUUACUGAGUGUUCCAAGUUAAAAGAGGAAGAGCAAAAGGGAACUAACUUGCCUAUUUAGAUAAACAUUUUAUCUCAAAAAAAUGUAUGGAAUUUUCUGAAUACACGUAGCGUCUUUGGAAGUAGCCUCAAUCAAAUCUAGCAGCAGAAAUUUUCUUGGAACACUCAGAGUUAGUUUCAAGGGAAAGAAAGUCAUCUGUUUCUAACUGCCCAUACCAUGGGCUCAGAGCACAAAUGAAUGAAAUGAUCAGUAUCAACUUUUUGGCUGGACAAUUGGUCCAUCAGCAGCAUGCUAUCUUCCACACCCCUCUUACGGAAGAACAAAAUUCUAUUUUAUGUUAAAAAUGAAAACCACACAAGGCUUCCCCUAUUUGCUUUGAGACUCACAACUAUGUGAGUAAACAUUAGCUGCCUCAGAAUACAUGUGAGGGGUUUAGGUUAGUCUUCUGGCUGCUUGUUUUCUUUAAGUUAACCAUUGCCAUUUAUGCUUUUCAUACAACCAGCAACAAUCUUAGGUACACACAACAGGUUUACGAAGCAAGUUCACUGUUUUAUGGCUUCAGCAGAUGUGCUACUCAAGUUCUGAAAUCACACUCUCAGGGUUUCAUGACCACCCUGGGGCUGCAGGUGAACCUAGACCGGAAGGAAUCUGCUUUCUGGUGAGCCUGUAGGUAUCCGCUGUCUGCAUGAUCUAGCUUUCUCGUAUCAUGAAAGAAUGUUAGGCCAAGAGUGUUUAUAGUCUCAUGUCUGAAUAAAGCAGUUAGAGAAGCCCAAGAAUGAACAAAUUUUGAUAAAUAAAACAAUGUGUCAUUUGUUCUCACUACUGAUAUGCAUUGAUACUAAAGACCAAUCGUUCUACUUUUAUUCUCAACAUACUAAUUGGGUACAAGAAUGCAUGUCGAUCUUUAACAAAAGCACCUGUUACUCUACCUACCUUACAGGAAGCUAUGGUAUUCCUACAAUCACCUGCGGGUGAAAUCACUUCCUUUCUGACUUACGCAUCAGAGACUCAAAACUAUCACUUUGCAGAAAAGUUAUUUUGUAAAUUUGCUUGAGCGAGGAGCACAAAUUUCAUUCCUCUUAUCCUUUGAAAUUUUCCUGAGAAAUAUUUGACAACUACUGACGGAAUCGGUUUUCUGGUAAAUAUGUUCAAAUUAGUGCAGAGGAGUGAAGAUGUUCAAAGCUCUUUGCUUCAGUGGCAGUCAGACCCUUACCUAUGAGAGUGUGGAAGGCAGCGGCGAUGGCUCCAGCCACUACCAUGCACAGGACGGCCUUGGUCCUGUCUCGCUUGCUGUUCACGAACACCAGGCCCACAUUUUUAAAGUCACUCAUGGGACCCGUGAAGAACUUCAUCAGGGAAUACGCCAGCCCGUAGCUGGCCAGCAUCUCCACUGCAUCCUCCUUGACAGCAGCAAUGCCCCGGUUCAAGGCCU